rnacentral:lncRNA from 1 species
CUCUGUCAUUUGUAAGGAAACGCGGAUCUUUCAAUGAGAACGUUUUUACUAGAUCUACCUUUCCUUAUCUGUAUAGUUGUACAGCACCAUUUUAUAUUUAAAAGGGUCAUUGAACUACAUGUGCGGUUAAAUGCUUGAUGACAAUUCUUUCCAUUAAGCAGCAGGACCACAUUCCGCGGGUUGAAAUUGAUGACGUUCUCAACCGUCAACGGUUCUGCCUCUGGUAUUAUUAUUUUCGGGUGUUUCAAAUCUGAACAGUAUUGGAUGUUUUUCGUUUAUAAUAUAAAGACUUUGCGGACAAGAUUAAACACCACCUGAACGUCAGAUCCUGUUGCAAAUGUAAUACUUGUAACCGGGGAUAACACCACAACCUCACAGUUGGUCCAAAUAAUUAAUAAUAGAUAGGACGUUUCGGGACAACUUGAUAACUUUUUACUUUCUGACUGCCGAUGUCUCCAUCACCUCCAGACUUAUUCUGCAUAUUUCUGUCAGGAAAUCCAUUGGGAACGUUUUUUGGUACAUGUACAAGGAAGAGUCAUUAUUCAUCUGUCUUGAUGUAAAGCCAUGUUCCAGUGGGUGACCAAUGUGUACUAAUAUCUGCGGGGGUUAGAAGUUAUUACAAGGUUAUGGCACCAGCCACUGGACCAAAACUUCUGGCAGUAGAUCAGAACUUUCAUGUUGCAGUCUGAUAUCAGGGGAGGUAACUAGAGUAACGGAUCGAGUCUGAUAUCAGGGGAGGUAACUAGAGUCACGGAUUGACACUAGCAAAUUGGAUGUGGUACAGGUAGUGCUGGUACAAAUCCUUUGAAAAUCCAUUCUGCCGCAACAAUUAAGAAAAUAAAAAUAUUUAAUUGAUUCCUGGUAUUAUAAAAAGUGGAGCAUUGUUCAUGUGAGGAGGGAUAACUUUGGUGCUCAGUUUCUACAGUUUCUACAGCUCAGUAUUUUCUGGUGGUAGUGUUUAGCAUACAUCCAAGAAAUUUGGAGAGCAGGAAGGUCAGGAUCUGUGUUGGAUGCAUUUUUUACUACACUGAUUGAAGCACACGAAGGACUAAUGCCUGAAUUCCACAGAACUAUGUCCAAGAUGUUGGAUCAAAAAGCAUUUUGGAUAUGAAACAAGAUAAAAACUUUGUUGUGAUGUCUGCACGAAAGAACUUGAUAUUAAUGAAACUUUUGUAAACUAUUGAUAAAUGAUGUCCAGAUUGAGUUAUGAUUCAGUCUUCAGAUUAAAAGUUUUGGAGCACUUACCGAAAAUAGCAUUUCUGACAAUAAAUCACUGUAUUCAUACAGAAGAAUUUUAACCUUUGCCCUGCUAAAUUUCUAAAAUGAACUGGUCCAUCAUUCAAUUUGGGCAAUACCAUUUAUUAUUCGAAGGGGUGUUCACUGAAAAUUGACUGACUGAAUAGCAAACAGUGCAGACCAUGAUCAGACUGCACGGGUCGCAAAGGUAGAAUCACUUGCUGCCAGCAGGCUAAAGGUUAAAAGACUUUUGCUCGCCGGAAAGUGAUUUCACUUACCUUGCUGCUUCUGGCAGGUGAGUUAUCUAGAUCUAUACAUAGAGCUCCGAAUUCGGCUAUCCCUGUCCGGCCUCAGUUAAACGGCAGCAUGGUAAUACAUGUGAUAGCUGUUUAGACCGAAUAGAAGCUGUAACUAGUGAGUUAUCAUGAAGAGUUGUAUAUUCAAAGAUGUAUCAUUUUAAGACAAUAAACAUUAUUGCUUUGUGUAAA